CCCUCGCCACGGCCCACCUGCCAGCCGCAGGUUCAGGCUGGGAGGCCGCAGUGCGCGGCGAGGGCCGCCGCACAUGCGCCCUGAGGGAAGAUGGCACCUGCCGGCUGCUGGUGCUGCGGCUGCUGGGGCGGCGCUGUGGCCGCCGCGGGCGCCGCCCGGCGAGUCUUGGUUCUGCUGCUGCUGGGGGUUCUGUCCAGCGGGCCGCAACCAGGCGCCCUAGCCACCGAGCACUACUCGCCGCUGUCCCUGCUCAAGCAGGAGCUGCAGCACCGGCAGCAGCAGGAGGCCCCGGCGGGCGGAGGCUGCAGCCCGCAGUCCGGGGACUGGGGGGACCAGUACUCUGCCGAGUGCGGCGAGUCAUCCUUUUUGAACUUCCAUGACUCCGACUGCGAACCCAAAGGACCACCACCCUGUGACUCUUUGCUUUCUCUCAACACUGAAAAGAUUCUGAGCCAGGCCAAGUCUAUUGCCGAACAAAAGAGAUUCCCAUUUGCUACUGAUAAUGACAGCACAAAUGAAGAGUUAGCUAUUGCAUAUGUGUUGAUUGGCAGUGGUCUCUAUGAUGAAGCAAUAAGACAUUUUUCAACAAUGCUUCAGGAGGAACCUGAUCUGGUUAGUGCAAUUUAUGGCCGAGGGAUAGCCUAUGGAAAGAAGGGAUUACAUGACAUUAAGAAUGCUGAGCUUUCUCUGUUCGAACUGAGCCGAGUAAUUACCUUGGAACCAGAUCGUCCAGAGGUAUUUGAGCAGCGAGCAGAAAUUCUGUCCCCUCUGGGACGAAUUAAUGAAGCAGUGAGUGAUCUCACUAAAGCUAUUCAACUUCAGCCCUCAGCACGGCUGUACAGACACCGCGGGACCCUGUACUUCAUAUCAGAGGACUAUGCAACAGCCCAUGAAGACUUUCAGCAGUCCUUAGAACUGAACAAAAACCAGCCCAUAGCUAUGCUAUACAAAGGUUUAACUUUCUUUCACAGAGGACUUUUGAAGGAAGCUAUUGAAUCCUUCAAAGAAGCUUUGAAGCAGAAAGUUGAUUUUAUUGAUGCAUAUAAAAGCCUGGGGCAGGCCUAUAGAGAGCUGGGCAAUUUUGAAGCAGCCACUGAGAGCUUUCAAAAGGCUCUGUUGCUGAACCAAAAUCACGUGCAGACCCUCCAGCUUCGGGGAAUGAUGCUUUACCACCAUGGCAGCUUGCAGGAAGCCCUUAAGAACUUCAAGCGGUGUCUGCAGCUGGAACCGUAUAACGAGGUGUGCCAGUACAUGAAAGGACUCAGCCACGUAGCAAUGGGACAGUUUUAUGAAGGGAUAAAAGCACAAACUAAAGUUAUGCUAAAUGACCCUCUCCCAGGCCAGAAGGCCAGCCCAGAGUACCUUAAAGUGAAGUACCUCCGAGAGUAUUCUCGAUAUCUUCAUGCCCACCUUGAUACUCCCCUUACGGAAUAUAACAUUGACGCGGACCUGCCCGGGAGCUUUAAAGACCACUGGGCUAAGAAUCUGCCUUUCCUCAUAGAAGACUACGAAGAGCAGCCAGGGCUGCAACCCCACAUAAAAGAUGUGUUACAUCAGAAUUUUGAGAGUUAUAAGCCCGAGGUCCAAGAGCUGAUUUGUGUAGCUGAUCGUUUGGGAUCUCUGAUGCAAUAUGAAACACCUGGUUUCCUGCCAAACAAGAGAAUACACAGAGCCAUGGGUUUGGCAGCCUUAGAAGUCAUGCAAGCUGUACAGCGUACGUGGACCAGUUCAAAGGUUCGAAUGAAUGGGAAAACGCGGCUGAUGCAGUGGAGAGACAUGUUUGACAUCGCAGUGAAGUGGAGACGGAUUGCGGACCCAGACCAGCCAGUGUUAUGGUUGGAUCAGAUGCCAGCACGAAGUCUCAGCAGAGGCUUUAACAACCACAUCAAUUUGAUCAGGGGUCAGGUGAUCAACAUGAGAUACCUGGAAUAUUUUGAGAAAAUUCUUCAUUUUAUUAAAGAUAGAAUUCUAGUUUAUCAUGGAGCUAAUAAUCCUAAAGGAUUGUUGGAAGUUAGAGAAGCUCUGGAAAAGGUCCACAAAGUGGAAGACCUCCUUCCAAUUAUGAAGCAGUUUAAUACUAAAACAAAGGAUGGGUUCACUGUGAACACAAAAGUUCCCAGCCUCAAAGACCAAGGGAAGGAAUAUGACGGCUUCACGAUCACUAUUACAGGAGACAAGGUAGGCAAUAUACUAUUUUCCGUGGAAACCCAGACCACAGAAGAAAGAACACAGUUAUAUCACGCCGAAAUAGAUGCACUUUAUAAAGAUCUAACAGCGAAAGGAAAAGUACUGAUUCUCUCAUCAGAAUUUGGGGAGACUGAUGCUGUUGGCAACUUAAUCUUAUCCUUAGUUUAUUACUUUUAUAAUUUAAUGCCGCUCUCUCGCGGAUCCAGUGUGAUCGCUUACUCAGUGAUUGUGGGAGCCCUGAUGGCGAGUGGAAAGGAAGUAGCAGGAAAAAUUCCCAAAGGGAAGUUGGUUGACUUUGAAGCUAUGACCGCCCCUGGUUCAGAGGCCUUUAGCAAAAUAGCUAAAAGCUGGAUGAACUUGAAAAGGUAACUGCUGGAUAGGGGUCAAACAAAAGGAUGUUACAACUGAAAAGGGAAAGAAGGGGCUCCCCGUUACUUUUCGAGCGUCGUGAAACUGGAAUUGUACUCAUUUUUAUGAGUUAUGAUUAUACAAUGAAUGUAAUCCACUUUUCAAGGUUAAAAUGUUUUUGCUGUUGCGUAAGACCCCUUAACAGUAUCUCACCUUCUUAUAAGACUCUUCCGUCCGUGUCUGAGACGUUCCCAACGUUAAGAUCAAUGAUCGAGGUGCUCAACACGGACUCCUCCCCACGUUGUCUUAAGAAACUCUAGUUACGCUGUGGUAUUUAUACAAGUAAAGGGCCGGACCUCUUGCUUCUUAAGUUAUUUUUUAAAACAUGGAAUUAUAAAGAAAUUAGGUCCUUUAUUACUUUUGAUACCAAUUUUUGAUAGGAAUUGAAUACUUGAAGUCAUUUUCCUUACCUUUCCGAACCAUAACAAAAUUCAUGGAAGAGGGUUUUGGGGCGACAGAAGAGCUCUGUGGGAGGGGAGGCAUACGUAUUAGCCAGCGGCCUCUUGGUUUCCACUUACAAAGUCAUACAACCCCUUCCUCCCAGUGAAGAAAGUUUAUUCCCAAAACCAAAAAUCAACAACAGAACAGGAGUGUUUUCAUUCCUUUGAAGAUCUGGGUGUUCUUCAAGGACCUUUGUAGGCACAUUGUGAGAAGGCAUCUUGUCUUCAACUCACAUAAUCCUCAUGCGUGGGCUCUCCGUUUCGUUUGAACCACGGGAGGUUCGUGGCCAUCAGAGUGUUCCCGGAGCUCGUGGCCGGGAACGUUGAAUGAGGCAGACAGUUUUUGCCAGUGAUUCAAACACUGAAUUGUGGAAACAUGUUUGUUUUUCUCCUCUUUGCUGGAAAAAAUAAAUGGGGGUGAUUUCUGUAAAUCACCAGUUUUUGACACUG